rnacentral:rRNA from 1 species
CUCCUGGAAACGGGUGGUAAUGCCGGAUGCUCCGCCCCCUCGCAUGGGGGGUCGGGAAGGCUUUUGCGGAAUGGGAUGGGGUCGCGUCCUAUCAGCUUGUUGGCGGGGCGACGGCCCACCAAGGCUUCGACGGGUAGCCGGCCUGAGAGGGCGACCGGCCACAUUGGGACUGAGAUACGGCCCAGACUUCUACGGGAGGCAGCAGUGGGGAAUAUUGCACAAUGGGGGGAACCCUGAUGCAGCGACGCCGCGUGCGGGAUGGAGGCCUUCGGGUCGUGAACCGCUUUUGAUUGGGAGCAAGCGUGAGUGAGUGUACCUUUCGAAUAAGCACCGGCUAACUACGUGCCAGCAGCCGCGGUAAUACGUAGGGUGCAAGCGUUGUCCGGAAUCAUUGGGCGUAAAGGGCUCGUAGGCGGUUCGUCGCGUCCGGUGUGAAAGCCCAUCGCUUAACGGUGGGUCUGCGCCGGGUACGGGCGGGCUUGAGUGCGGCAGGGGAGGCUGGAAUUCCCGGUGUAACGGUGGAAUGUGUAGAUAUCGGGAAGAACACC